UUGUUCCUGUGUCAGUGUUUGUGCCACACGGGACUGUUUCGUUCGUUCAUUCGUGUGUUCCUUCCUGUUUGUGCGUUCUUGUUUUAUGUUCUCAAGUACAGGUCUGUUCACGUCAUUUUGUUAUUUUGUAUUUUGUCAAGUGUUCUUCGUGUUCGUCUUUCACAAAUAAAUCAUUAUGUAUUCACACUACGCUGCGCUUUGGUCCGAUCCUUGCUCCUCCUCAGACGAGGAGGAAGACGAGCGUUACAAUAUCACAAAAUGGUAUUGAGAGCAGGAUGAUUUUUUAGAAAGCAGCGGAAGGUCUAUAGUUCCAGGGAGGCUUGAUUUUGCCAUGUUCUCUGGAAGGUUAGAGAACCGGACAUUGUCCGGGAAACAAAAGUAACCAUUUUUGGUUCCGCUGGUAGUAUAUUUGGAGAGCUGCUUCGUAGCUGUGGAGAGCCCUUAAAUGCAAAUGGAAUGGUUGAUUUGUCUUGAAAGCACCAUAAGUCCAGAGGUGAUGUCAACAUUUGCCCACAAGGACUGCCGUGCCACAUUCCUGUUAAAGUGAGCACAGCACAACAAGGCAAGUAAUUACCCUAAUGUGCCCACCAAGAGAAGGGAAUACGUGCAGGACUCAGAUCAAGUGGACGUAACGGAGUGCAACAACAAAGUGGAAGGGUUACAAAGAGAGGAGCAUACGAAGAAGAUUACAAGGGUUGCACAGCAGCCAUCAUGCAACCCAGUGUUCAAGGGAUUCCUCAGCAAACUUCUGAAAGAGAUAGAAAAGGUUAGCCUGGUAUGGUUUCAAUCUAUCCACUGAUUCUCUUUAUGUAAAACACUUCCUCAAUGUAUCUUACCCACCUUGUAAAUGUAUGUUACCACUUUGGAAAGUAGUAUGCUGUCUGUAUGCCAAGUGCAUAUACAGUUGAAGUCGAAAGUUUACAUACACUUACGUUGGAGUCAUUAAAACUUGUUUUUCAACCAUUCCACACAUUUCUUGUUAACAAACUGUAGUUUUGGCAAGUAUGUUAGGACAUCUACUUUGUGCAUGACACAAGUAAUUUUCCCAACAAUUGUUUACAGACCGAUUAUUUCACUUAAAAAUCACUGUAUCACAAUUCCAGUGGGUAAGAAGUUUACAUACACUAAGUUGACUGUGCCUUUAAACAGCUUGGAAAAUUCCAGAAAUUGAUGGCAUGGCUUUAGAAGCUUCUGGUAGGCUAAUUGACAUCAUUUGAGUCAAUUGGAGGUGUACCUGUGGAUAUAUUUCAAGGCCUACCUUCAAACUCAGUGCCUUUUUGUUUGACAUCAUGGGAAAAUCAAAAGGAAUCAGCCAAGACCUCAGAAAAAAAGUUGUAGACCUCCACAAGUCUGUUUCAUCCUUGGGAGGAAUUUCCAAACACCUGAAGGUACCACGUUCAUCGGUACAAAUAAUAGUACGCAAGUAUAAACACCAUGGGACCACGCAGCCGUCAUACUGCUCAGGAAGGAGACGCGUUCUGUCUCCUAGAGAUGAACGUACUUUGGUGCGAAAAGUGCAAAUCAAUCCCAGAACAACAGAAAAGGGCCUUGAAGAUGCUGGAGGAAACGGGUACAAAAGUAUCUAUACCCACAGUAAAACGAGUCCUAUAUCGACAUAACCUGAAAGGCCGCUCGGCAAGGAAGAAGCUACUGCUCUAAAACCGCCAUAAAAAAGCCAGACUACGGUUUGCAACUGCACAUGGGGACAAAGAUCGUACUUUUUGGAGAAAUGUCCUCUGGUCUCAUGAUACAAAAAUAGAGCUGUUUGGCCAUAAUGACCAUUGUUAUGUUUGGAGGAAAAAGGGGGAGGCUUGCAAGCCAAAGAACACUAUUCCAACCGUGAAGCAUGGGGGUGGCAGCAUCAUGUUGAGAAGGUGCUUUACUGCAGGAGGGACUGGUGCACUUCACAAAAUAGAUGGCAUCAUGAGGAAGCUAAGUUAUGUGGAUAUAUUGAAACACCUGUUAAUUGAAAUGCAUUCCAGGUGACUACCUCAUGAAGCUGGUUGAGAGAAUGCCAAGAGUGUACAAAGCUGUAAUCAAG